UACAGAGGUGGCAAGCGUUGUUCGGAAUUACUGGGCGUAAAGGGCGCGUAGGCGGCCCGUCAAGUCCCGUGUGAAAGCCCCCGGCUCAACCGGGGAACGGCGCGGGAAACUAGCAGGCUUGAGUUCGGGAGAGGGAAGCGGAAUUCCGGGUGUAGCGGUGAAAUGCGCAGAUAUCCGGAGGAACACCGGUGGCGAAGGCGGCUUCCUGGACCG
rnacentral:rRNA from 1 species